rnacentral:sRNA from 1 species
GCUGGGCACGGUGGUGCACGCUUGUAAUACCAGCAGCUCAGGAGGCUGAGGCAGGAGGAUCAUGAGUUCAAAGCCAGCCUCAGCAAAAGAAAGGCGCUAAGCAACUCCGUGAGAUCCUGUCUCUA